rnacentral:rRNA from 1 species
GACGAACGCUGGCGGCGUGCUUAACACAUGCAAGUCGAACGGUAAGGCCCUUCGGGGUACACGAGUGGCGAACGGGUGAGUAACGCGUGAGUAACCUGCCCUUGACUCUGGGAUAACAGAUGGAAACGUCUGCUAAUACCGGAUACUCAGCCUUGUGGGCAUCCGCAGGGUUGGAAAGCUCCGGCGGUCAAGGAUGGACUCGCGUCCUAUCAGCUAGUUGGUGGGGUAACGGCCUACCAAGGCGACGACGGGUAGCCGGCCUGAGAGGGCGACCGGCCACAUUGGGACUGAGAUACGGCCCAGACUCCUACGGGAGGCAGCAGUGGGGAAUAUUGCACAAUGGGCGAAAGCCUGAUGCAGCAACGCCGCGUGCGGGAUGACGGCCUUCGGGUUGUAAACCGCUUUCAGCAGGGACGAAGCGCAAGUGACGGUGCCUGCAGAAGAAGCACCGGCUAACUACGUGCCAGCAGCCGCGGUAACAC